AAAUCAAAUGCUGAAAAUAAUUCUUUUCAUUGAUGAUGACUUCGAGAGAACUAUUUUCAGGUCUGAUAACGUUUUUUUUUAUCAUGAAGAUAUCAACCAUUUUCCCUUUUUUCCAUAUUUUUAUUUUCUAAUCAACAUAAUAAUCUCAUCGUCUAUCGAAAACAAACAAAUUGUAUUUCUUUGAUUAUUUGAAAUCAGUGAUGAACAUUAACAAUCGAUUGUAUUGCCUAUUGCUUGUGUGUGUGUGUGUGUUUGUGUUUGAUGGCAUUGAAAAAGAAAAUUUGAAUUUAUGAUUAUUUUUCAUUUUUGAAAAUAUUAAUUUUAAAAAAAAUUAGCUUCAGACAGAAUAAAACCUUCAACAAAACUGUUAAAAGCUGUCAUCAUCAUUCAAAAACCAUGCUGAUUGAAAUGACAUCAUUGAUUUUUCAUCCACCAAUUUCGGUUUUGUCUAAUUUAAAACAUCAACGACAAUUUUCAUAUCUAUCGCAUUAGAAUGGCAAAUGCAUGAUUUUUGAUGUCAAAAAAAUUUUUUC